AAUAAAAUAAGAAUAAGAGAAGCACAGAAGCUGAGUUGCCAAGCGAAGUCGGUCUUCUAGCUGGGUCUCAAUUUAAUUCACUUCUCGUUCUCUCCUUCAAAAACCAAAUUCCACGUGACCUUCUCAACCGGCAAAACACUUCUUCAUAUUCAUCUCCAUCUCCACCUCCACCUCCACCUCCACCUCCACCUCCAACUUCAUCGCUUCACACAAUCCUUCAUCUCUCUCUGGAUUCAAUUCCACUCAACUUCAACUUCAACUUCCUCACUAUCUGAUCAUCUUCACAUCCACGGAUCUAGUCGAAUCUUCAAUUCACCAUCUGUUUUUUCUCUCUUGUGACGUCAUUUUUGCUUGAGAUGGUGGAGAAAUCGAGGUGAGUGGUGGUUAUUGUAUGUUUGUAUCUUUACUGUGUAGAUGAAGCAGCGGAAGGUGACGCAACAGCAGAAAUCUCACUUCAAAUGGAAGAGAAAGGUGUAUGCUGUGUUGUUCUUAGGGUUUUGUUUUGGGAGCUUGCUUUUGAUGCAAACUCAGUAUACUCGAAUUCUAGCACUUGCUUCUCUGCAGUCUCGUUUCGUUCAGAAGCCGAAAAUUGCUUUUCUCUUUAUAGCUCGAAAUCGGAUUCCUCUUGAGAUUGUUUGGGAUGCGUUUUUUAAGGGUGCAGAAUCUAGAUUUUCAAUUUUUGUUCAUUCAAGGCCUGGGUUUCUGCUCAACAAGGCAACAACAAGAUCUGAAUACUUUUUAAAUCGCCAAGUUAAUGAUAGUAUACAGGUAGAUUGGGGAGAGGCGAGCAUGAUUGAGGCCGAGCGUAUAUUACUAAGACAUGCUCUGGAGGAUCCUUGGAAUGAACGCUUUGUUUUCCUCUCAGACAGCUGCAUACCUCUUUACAACUUCAGCUACACUUAUGACUAUAUCAUGUCGACAUCAACUAGUUUUGUAGACAGCUUUGCUGAUACUAAAGAGGGCCGCUACAACCCAAAAAUGUCUUCAUUCAUUCCUGUACAUAACUGGAGGAAAGGAUCUCAGUGGGUUGUUCUCACCAGAAAGCAUGCAGAGAUUGUAGUGAAUGACACUUCAGUCUUUCCUAUGUUUCAACAGCAUUGCAAGAGGAGAUCGCUACCUGAGUUUUGGCGGGACCAGCCCUUUCCAGCUGAUCCAGCUAAGGAGCAUAAUUGUAUACCUGAUGAACAUUAUGUACAGACAUUACUGGCUCAAGAAGGCCUCGAAGGAGAAAUCACACGAAGGUCAUUAACACAUAGUUCAUGGGAUCUUUCAUCCUCAAAAGACCCCACUCGCCGUGGUUGGCAUCCUGUUACUUAUAAAUUCUCUGAUGCUACUCCCAUGCUUAUAAAGUAUAUAAAGGAUUUAGCUGCUCUAGUGUAGGUCUUUCAGCAGAAGUAGCUCCAAACUGGGUGCAAUGGAGGAAAGUGAUACAUAUAGCCAGUCUCAAUAAGGUUGAGAUUAAGAUUUAGCCGAGCAUGUUAAUAGAAGUAGAGGUCACAUGGUUUUGUCACAUGGAAAAUUGUUGCAUGUUGGGUGCCUGGCAUCAUCACCACCUCAACUUGGCAGCAUGAUAGUGUCAUGCUGCCACUCCAUUGCUGUCACGUUGGACACCAUUUUGAUUCACAUAUUUGAAUUUAAUAUGCUUGAUAAGUUUGAAAUAAUUCCAUGUGUUUCAAAGAAACUCCAUGCAAUCUUAUGUGUUGUCUCAAUUGCAUUAGUACACUACACCUGCAUUAUGAUUUGUUUACCCCUGUUUGGAAUCAAGAAUUUCACAAGAAUUUAAUUCAAUUGAUUUAUUUUUUAUCAAUUUUGUUAUUUAGGAUGAAAGAAUUCAAUUUUUUUAAUUUGAAAAAAAAUUCAUUAUAAAAGAAAUUAAAAUUAUACAUGAUUUUGUAAGGAUUUAUUUGAAUUCAUUUUUCUUAACACGAACUGUUCCAAAGGAACCUUACAGUUUUUCCAGGUAAGUUUGGUGGAGAAUUCAAAGCAAUUAUGAUAUAAGCCUAAAGUUACUGGGAGUGGCACUGCAGUUGUUGCCUCUGUCUACUAUUCUCAUCGUGUUUCCAUCUCUGACAAUGAAAUUGAAAUUACAUUUCUCCUAGUUUUCCAUUCUUGCAAGUUGAAUAACAUAGUGGGAGGCUGUUAUGAAAGAGUUUGAAGGCAAAUUUGUUUUACUUUAGAAGAGUACAUGUCUUUUGCUUAUUAUCAAGAGGGUAUAUUUUUAAAAGGUUCAAUUACUUUUGCAGGACAUUGACAAUAUAUAUUACGAGACUGAAUAUCGAAGAGAAUGGUGCACCAGCAAAGGGAAACCAUCGACAUGCUUCCUUUUUGCAAGAAAAUUCACCCGUCCUGCUGCCCUUCGCCUUCUUAACAUGUCUAUGCUGGGAGCUUCCCGU